rnacentral:rRNA from 1 species
AAUAGAUACCCAGGUAGUCCACGCCGUAAACGAUGAGUGCUAAGUGUUAGGGGGUUUCCGCCCCUUAGUGCUGCAGCUAACGCAUUAAGCACUCCGCCUGGGGAGUACGGUCGCAAGACUGAAACUCAAAGGAAUUGACGGGGGCCCGCACAAGCGGUGGAGCAUGUGGUUUAAUUCGAAGCAACGCGAAGAACCUUACCAGGUCUUGACAUCCCACUGACCGCUAUGGAGACAUAGUUUUCCCUUCGGGGACAGUGGUGACAGGUGGUGCAUGGUUGUCGUCAGCUCGUGUCGUGAGAUGUUGGGUUAAGUCCCGCAACGAGCGCAACCCUUGAUCUUAGUUGCCAUCAUUUAGUUGGGCACUCUAAGGUGACUGCCGGUGACAAACCGGAGGAAGGUGGGGAUGACGUCAAAUCAUCAUGCCCCUUAUGACCUGGGCUACACACGUGCUACAAUGGACGGUACAAACGGUUGCCAACCCGCGAGGGGAGCUAAUCCGAUAAAACCGUUCUCAGUUCGGAUUGUAGGCUGCAACUCGCCUAC